UUGAAGAGUUUGAUCAUGGCUCAGAUUGAACGCUGGCGGCAGGCCUAACACAUGCAAGUCGAACGGUAACAGGAAGCAGCUUGCUGCUUUGCUGACGAGUGGCGGACGGGUGAGUAAUGUCUGGGAAACUGCCUGAUGGAGGGGGAUAACUACUGGAAACGGUAGCUAAUACCGCAUAACGUCGCAAGACCAAAGAGGGGGACCUUCGGGCCUCUUGCCAUCGGAUGUGCCCAGAUGGGAUUAGCUAGUAGGUGGGGUAACGGCUCACCUAGGCGACGAUCCCUAGCUGGUCUGAGAGGAUGACCAGCCACACUGGAACUGAGACACGGUCCAGACUCCUACGGGAGGCAGCAGUGGGGAAUAUUGCACAAUGGGCGCAAGCCUGAUGCAGCCAUGCCGCGUGUAUGAAGAAGGCCUUCGGGUUGUAAAGUACUUUCAGCGGGGAGGAAGGGAGUAAAGUUAAUACCUUUGCUCAUUGACGUUACCCGCAGAAGAAGCACCGGCUAACUCCGUGCCAGCAGCCGCGGUAAUACGGAGGGUGCAAGCGUUAAUCGGAAUUACUGGGCGUAAAGCGCACGCAGGCGGUUUGUUAAGUCAGAUGUGAAAUCCCCGGGCUCAACCUGGGAACUGCAUCUGAUACUGGCAAGCUUGAGUCUCGUAGAGGGGUAGAAUUCCGGUGUAGCGGUGAAAUGCGUAGAGAUCUGGAGGAAUACCGGUGGCGAAGGCGGCCCCCUGGACGAAGACUGACGCUCAGGUGCGAAAGCGUGGGGAGCAAACAGGAUUAGAUACCCUGGUAGUCCACGCCGUAAACGAUGUCGACUUGGAGGUUGUGCCCUUGAGGCGUGGCUUCCGGAGCUAACGCGUUAAGUCGACCGCCUGGGGAGUACGGCCGCAAGGUUAAAACUCAAAUGAAUUGACGGGGGCCCGCACAAGCGGUGGAGCAUGUGGUUUAAUUCGAUGCAACGCGAAGAACCUUACCUGGUCUUGACAUCCACGGAAGUUUUCAGAGAUGAGAAUGUGCCUUCGGGAGCCGUGAGACAGGUGCUGCAUGGCUGUCGUCAGCUCGUGUUGUGAAAUGUUGGGUUAAGUCCCGCAACGAGCGCAACCCUUAUCCUUUGUUGCCAGCGGUCCGGCCGGGAACUCAAAGGAGACUGCCAGUGAUAAACUGGAGGAAGGUGGGGAUGACGUCAAGUCAUCAUGGCCCUUACGACCAGGGCUACACACGUGCUACAAUGGCGCAUACAAAGAGAAGCGACCUCGCGAGAGCAAGCGGACCUCAUAAAGUGCGUCGUAGUCCGGAUUGGAGUCUGCAACUCGACUCCAUGAAGUCGGAAUCGCUAGUAAUCGUGGAUCAGAAUGCCACGGUGAAUACGUUCCCGGGCCUUGUACACACCGCCCGUCACACCAUGGGAGUGGGUUGCAAAAGAAGUAGGUAGCUUAACCUUCGGGAGGGCGCUUACCACUUUGUGAUUCAUGACUGGGGUGAAGUCGUAACAAGGUAACCGUAGGGAACCUGCGGUUGGAUCACCUCCUU
rnacentral:rRNA from 1 species